UGCCAUGGCCUUGACUGUCUUGAUGUUGUUUUGCACCAUGCCCUUGUGUUGACUUUUGCAUGCGAUAUUUUUCAGGCACCCGCUUUAUAUAACGCAAGAAGGCAGCUGCAAGGACACGAGGAUGUGAAAGAGCCAGUGCAGCGGGACUUCACGUAGUGCGGAGGAGCCAAUGCCAAAAAAUCAAAAUACAUUGGCAUGUUAUUUGGACAAGAAAACUAGGACAACCCAGGACGUGCAUUUCUCAGCACCCAGUCAACUGCCAAAAGUGACUCAAACACAGGCCACCAGUGGAACUCGGCUGUACCACUGCAGUGCUGCGGAAAUUGCCUUCACCAGCGGCUUUGCAACAGCUGUUUCGCAGCAUGUCGGUAUGUUUUAAUUUAUAAUU
rnacentral:lncRNA from 1 species